AGUGAACGCUGGCGGCAGGCCUAACACAUGCAAGUCGAACGGCAGCGCAGGGGAGCUUGCUCCCCGGGCGGCGAGUGGCGGACGGGUGAGGAAUACGUCGGAAUCUGCCUUUUGUUGGGGGAGUAACGUAGGGAAACUUACGCUAAUACCGCAUACGACCUACGGGUGAAAGUGGGGGACCGGCAAGGCCUCACGCAGAAAGAUGAGCCGACGUCGGAUUAGCUAGUUGGUGGGGUAAUGGCCCACCAAGGCGACGAUCCGUAGCUGGUCUGAGAGGAUGAUCAGCCACACUGGGACUGAGACACGGCCCAG
rnacentral:rRNA from 1 species